GUGGUCGUAGCUCAGUUGGUAGAGCCCCGGAUUGUGAUUCCGGUUGUCGUGGGUUCAAGUCCCAUCGAUCACCCCA
rnacentral:tRNA from 1 species